rnacentral:rRNA from 1 species
AUUGAACGCUGGCGGCAGGCCUAACACAUGCAAGUCGAGCGGAUGAAGGGAGCUUGCUCCUGGAUUCAGCGGCGGACGGGUGAGUAAUGCCUAGGAAUCUGCCUGGUAGUGGGGGAUAACGUCCGGAAACGGGCGCUAAUACCGCAUACGUCCUGCGGGAGAACGUGGGGGAUCUUCGGACCACACGCUAUCAGCUGAGCCUAGGUCGGAUUAGCUCGUUGGUGGGGUAAAGGCCUACCAAGGCGACGAUCCGUAACUGGUCUGAGAGGAUGAUCAGCCACACUGGAACUGAGACACGGCCCAGACUCCUACGGGAGGCAGCAGUGGGGAAUAUUGCACAAUGGGCGAAAGCCUGAUCCAGCCAUGCCGCGUGUGUGAAGAAGGUCUUCGGAUUGUAAAGCACUUUAAGGUGGGAGGAAGGGCAGUAAGUUAAUAGCUUGCUGUUUUGACGGUACCAACAGAAGAAGCCCCGGCUAACUUCGUG